UGCACAGAUGAUGACAGGGAGCUACCCUU
rnacentral:piRNA from 1 species